ncrna:unclassified sequences eL15-Euryarchaeota ribosomal protein leader
GCGGUGGAAACCGCGGGAUGUUCCGCUCUGCGGAGAACCACAAA